GACGUAGGGCGCGAGCGUUGUCCGGAUUUAUUGGGCGUAAAGAGCUCGUAGGCGGCUUGUUGCGUCAGCUGUGAAAAAACCCGCAGCUCAACUGUGGGGCUUGCAGCUGAUACGGGGCAGGCUUGAGUUUUCGGUAGGGGAGACUGGAAAUUCCUGGUGUAGCGGUGAAAAUGCGCAGAUAUCAGGGAGGGAAACACCCGGUGGGCGAAAGGGCGGGUCUCUGGGCCCGAUACUGACGCUGGAGGGAGCGAAAGCGUGGGAGCGAAACAGG
rnacentral:rRNA from 1 species